rnacentral:rRNA from 1 species
UACGGGGGGGGCAAGCGUUGUUCGGAAUUACUGGGCGUAAAGGGCUCGUAGGUGGCCAACUAAGUCAGACGUGAAAUCCCUCAGCUUAACUGGGGAACUGCGUCUGAUACUGGAUGGCUUGAGUUUGGGAGAGGGAUGCGGAAUUCCAGGUGUAGCGGUGAAAUGCGUAGAUAUCUGGAGGAACACCGGUGGCGAAGGCGGCAUCCUGGACCGAGAUUGACGCUGAGGCGCGAAAGCGUGGGGAGCAAACAGG